rnacentral:rRNA from 1 species
GCCUCCUACGGGACGCAGCAGUAGGGAAUAUUGCUCAAUGGGGGAAACCCUGAAGCAGCAACGCCGCGAGGAGGAUGAAGGUUUUCGGAUUGUAAACUCCUUUUGUUAGAGAAGAUAAUGACGGUAUCUAACGAAUAAGCACCGGCUAACUCCGUGCCAGCAGCCGCGGUAAUACGGAGGGUGCAAGCGUUACUCGGAAUCACUGGACGUAAAGAGCGCGAAGGCGGGAUAGCAAGUCAGAUGUGAAAUCCUAUGGCUUAACCAUAGAACUGCAUGUGAAACUGUUAUGCUAGGGUAUGGGAGAG